UACGUAGGGGGCGAGCGUUGUUCGGAAUUAUUGGGCGUAAAGGGCGCGUAGGCGGCCCGUUAAGUCCGCUGUGAAAGACCGAGGCUCAACCUCGGGGUGUCAGCGGAGACUGUCGGGCUGGAGUCUCGGAGAGGGAUGCGGAAUUCCUGGUGUAGCGGUGGAAUGCGUAGAGAUCAGGAGGAACACCGAUGGCGAAGGCAGCAUCCUGGCCGAGUACUGACGCUGAGGCGCGAAAGCGUGGGGAGCAAACAGG
rnacentral:rRNA from 1 species